AACGUAGGAGACAAACGUUAUCCGGAGUUACUGGGCGUAAAGGGCGUGUAGGUGGUUUCGUAAGUCUGGCGUGAAAUUUUUCGGCUUAACCGGGAAAGGUCGUCGGAUACUGCGGGACUAGAGGACGGUAGAGGCGUGUGGAAUUCCGGGUGUAGUGGUGAAAUGCGUAGAGAUCCGGAGGAACACCAGUGGCGAAGGCGACACGCUGGGCCGGUACUGACGCUGAGGCGCGAAAGCGUGGGGAGCAAACGGG
rnacentral:rRNA from 1 species